CCUACGAGGUGCAGCAGUGAGGAAUAUUGGUCAAUGGGCGCGAGCCUGAACCAGCCAAGUAGCGUGAAGGAUGACUGCCCUACGGGUUGUAAACUUCUUUUAUAAAGGAAUAAAGUGCGGCACGUGUGACUUUUUGUAUGUACUUUAUGAAUAAGGAUCGGCUAACUCCGUGCCAGCAGCCGCGGUAAUACGGCGGAUCCGAGCGUUAUCCGGAUUUAUUGGGUUUAAAGGGAGCGUAGAUGGGUUGUUAAGUCAGUUGUGAAAGUUUGCGGCUCAACCGUAAAAUUGCAAUUGAUACUGGCAGCCUUGAGUACAGUUGAGGGAGGCGGAAUUCGUGGGGUAGCGGUGAAAUGCGUAGAGAUCAGGAGGAACACCGGUGGCGAAGGCGGCCUGCUGGACUACAACUGACGUUGAGGCCCGAAAGCGUGGGGAGCAAACAGGAUUAGAUACCCGAGUAGUC
rnacentral:rRNA from 1 species